rnacentral:rRNA from 1 species
GACGAACGCUGGCGGCGUGCUUAACACAUGCAAGUCGAACGGAAAGGCCCUGCUUUUGUGGGGUGCUCGAGUGGCGAACGGGUGAGUAACACGUGAGUAACCUGCCCUUGACUUUGGGAUAACUUCAGGAAACUGGGGCUAAUACCGGAUAGGAGCUCCUGCUGCAUGGUGGGGGUUGGAAAGUUUCGGCGGUUGGGGAUGGACUCGCGGCUUAUCAGCUUGUUGGUGGGGUAGUGGCUUACCAAGGCUUUGACGGGUAGCCGGCCUGUGAGGGUGAACGGCCACAUGGGGACUACGAUACGGACCAGACUCCAACGGGAGGCAGCGGGGGGGAGUAUUGCACAAUGGGCGGGAGCCUGAUGCGGCGGCGCCGCGUGCGGGAUGACGGCCUUCGGGUUAUGAACCGCUUUCGCCUGUGACGAAGCGUGAGUGACGGUAAUGGGUAAAGAAGCACCGGCUAACUACGUG